rnacentral:rRNA from 1 species
GUGCCAGCAGCCGCGGUAAUACCGGCAGCCCGAGUGAUGGCCGAUCUUAUUGGGCCUAAAGCGUCCGUAGCUGGCCGGGGAAGUCCGUCGGGAAAUCCACUCGCUCAACGAGUGGGCGUCCGGCGGAAACUCUCCGGCUUGGGACCGGAAGACCGAAGGGGUACGUCCGGGGUAGGAGUGAAAUCCUGUAAUCCUGGACGGACCACCGGUGGCGAAAGCGCCUUCGGAAGACGGAUCCGACAGUGAGGGACGAAAGCUAGGGUCUCGAACCGGAUUAGAAACCCUGGUAGUCC